UUAAAUAAACCAGAGGGUGGUGAAAACUGCACGCUGCAUUCAUUGUCUUCAGCUUUAACAUCAGUGUCAUUCGGCCGCGCGGACAAGCGCAGGGUUGAAAAGUUUUUGGGGACAAAGUGCUGUUUGUCUUCAGUCACGUUAGCAUCAAGCUAACUGAGCACGACCUCGACGAAGACUCUGUUUCUGAACUUCCUGAGAGUGUAAGACUCGAGCCCCGGACACCCCCCUCACCUGAAGGGAACAGGACAGAGAAAGAGACAACGAUUCAGGAAAGACUUCUUUGACCAUCCACAAAUAUCACCACCUGAUGAGGAUCUGCAACAACACCUGAAGUGAACAGAAACACACCUGAGGACGUUUGGAACAAUCAAGCUGUGCAUAUACUCUAGAUGUAUUGUCGUGUGCGCUCACCGUGAGUCUGAGCCCAGGCCUGCAGGAUGCAGUGCUUCUCCUCCGAGCUGUAGACCAGGGAGUUGGGGUGGGUGUCCAACACAUGACUCUUGAUGUGUUCCAGGUGGAGCGAGGGUAGCUCUCCUCCACACACCAUGCAGAGCAGCCGGCCUGCCUCCGCCUCGUACUCCAUUAGGAACUCCUGCCUGAACCACGCGUGCAGUGAGUCGUUCAGGUAGCGCUCCAGAGUCUGUGCCGACGGCCCCGGGAGGUCCUGAUCCUCCUCUUCCUCCUGGGGCAAGGGGGCUUCACCCUCCUCGGAGCGGGGGGACGGACUGAGCGGCUGUUGUUGCUGCUCCUGGGGAGUCACUGGGUACGGAGGCUCUGCUGGACUCAAACAUAUUAAACCAAAUAUUAAAAACAUGAGUCUCUGAUGUUCAACCAUUAAAAUGUCUUUAUAUCAUCA